UACAGAGGUCCCAAGCGUUGUUCGGAUUCACUGGGCGUAAAGGGUGCGUAGGCGGUCGGAUAAGUCUGAUGUGAAAUCUUCGAGCUCAACUCGGAAACUGCAUCGGAAACUAUUCGGCUAGAGGAUUGGAGGGGAGACUGGAAUUCUCGGUGUAGCAGUGAAAUGCGUAGAUAUCGAGAGGAACACCAGUGGCGAAGGCGAGUCUCUGGACAAUUCCUGACGCUGAGGCGCGAAAGCUAGGGGAGCAAACGGG
rnacentral:rRNA from 1 species